rnacentral:lncRNA from 1 species
GCACUGGCAAAAUAUUUUAAAGCCCAGGUGGCAGAGAAAAGAAAUGCUAAAAUACUCCAAUAGGAAUUAUGCUAGUUUAGUUUUACCAUAAGUCAUGUUGCAUCACAGAUUCCUUAUUUCAUUGUUUGAGAGACUUCACAGGGGAUAUAGUUGGAUCUUCUAGGUGCAAUUUAGGAGUUGGAGGUAUCUGGGCCUAAAACUCUUUCCAUAUUUAUGAGUUAAUGGACAACCUGGAUUGCACAGCCCAUCUCUGCUUGCUCUGGAUUCUGGAUUCUGCUGGGAGUAACAUAGGAUGGAGACAGUUGAAUUUAUCAGUUAGCAACAGCCAUAGACAAAAUUUCACACUUUUAAAAGUAGCUACUGACCCAGGGAGCUUUCCAAACUUAUGGCUGGUAUAUUUCUUACUCUUAUAAUUAAAAGACAAAUCUCCUAUCGCGGUAUUUGCUUAGGUUCAGAUUGUUUACUUCAUUUGUUGAUACCUGCUUCUGUGUUCAUGCAGCUUGUAGGGCAGAAUUCCAGUGGGACAGCAUGUACCUCUUUUCUAAGGACAAGAUCAGGACCUGAGAACCAAACCACGUUGUCAUGUGAAGCUUGGCUGUGAAAAUACCUGUCUGCUGCUGUGCGAAAUUGCCAGCAGUUGGAACACCAACAGAUCAGUCUGUAGGAGCAAUGUUGAAUAUAGAAAAUACAGCAGAAAAAGUCUCCUAGGAACAUAAAAUACAUUCUGCCCCUGUGGUCACUGUCUC